UAUCAGCAGGUAAAGUUUCGGAGCGAACAAGUUGCUGCCUGCAACCUCGCAGCUUGCGGCCUCGCUGCCAAGAUUACAAGGUUUUAGAAAAGAAACGUGGCCACGAAAUAAUUAUAUUCAUAAUAUAUCACAGCGUAGCCAGGAGACAUGGUCUAUAUUGCAAUCUGAUAAAUGUAUGAAUGUGCGAGGUCUCUCAUUACUGUUUAUUUUGGAAACCUAACUAUUCCACGAAGAGUUUGGAAAAUGCAAGAUGUUUUAAUAUAAUUUCAGAACAAUUCCCAAAUUGUCUCCUCGAUCAACUGAAGAUGCUUGAAACAAUGUAUUUUAAGAGAAAUGUUAAUAUUCCAAUAACAAAACAACCUAACAAAGUUGAUUUUAUUUGGAAUAAUGGAACUAUUUGCGUUUUUGACUAAUGUACGUUUCGGAGUUAAUCCUCAUGAACAUGGCAUGCACGUGGUAAAUCUCGGAAGCUCAGCCUUAAUUUUAAAAGUACAAAGCAGUUAAAUAGACCAGAGGAAAUAAGAUUUGCGGUUGGAAUGAUAGUUACACAUACCAAUAGUGAUCAAUUUACAGAUAGUUGUACCGGCGUGAUAAUCGGAUGGCAUCGAUAUAAAGAUAGACACGUUACAUAUUUGUCCGCAAGCGAUGUAAUAAAUAUGGAUAUAUGUGUAUUGCCGUUGAACCACUGUUGUAAUUGUCAUGCUAUAAAACAAGAAACUAAUUAUUAUAUAAUUCUUACCCAAAAUAAUAAAAUGUGUUGCGUGGAGGAAGAUCAUAUAACUUUAACAACGCCGCAAUGGAUCAAUAAUAGCGAAAUUGGUCGCUAUUUUUCUAAAUUCGAAGGCACGCAUUACGUGGCAAAUAAAAUGCUAAAAGACUUUAUCCGUAUGAUGCCGCUAUAAUUGCUCGAAAUAUUAGAGAAUAGAUUAGAGAAAGAAAUUUCAAAAAAGAAUAUGUGAAAAUUAGUAGUAUAAAUUAAUAGUUUAAGUAGUCAUAAAUUAAUA